rnacentral:tRNA from 3 species
GGAGGCGUGCGAUAGCGGUUUAUUCGGAUAGUUUCGAAAACUAUUGGGCUUUACGGCCCUCGGAGGUUCGAAUCCUCCCGCCUCCG